AUCAUGCGAACCGUCUUCCCCUUGGUCGGUUCUCCUUGAUCGGAACCCUGCGCUCGACGAUGGCCUUAGGCGAGCUCGUUAGCCGAUCCCAGAUCCCCGACGGUGGCGUAGCCGGAGAUCCACCGAUCAAUGGCGCCUCCACCGCUGCCUCAGAGAGGAAAAAGGUCCGAGAAAGCGAGCGCCGCCGCCGUAGGCGGAAGCAGAAGAAGAACGACAGUAAAUCCUCUGUCUCCUUGGCCGACGACGGCGAGAAGAGGGGAGUAGAGAGAGGGGAAAUAGGCGCAGCUGAGGACGAGCGCAAUGAUUACCCCGAGGUCAACAUGAGUGUGGAAGUGGAGUACAUUCCUGAAAAGGCUGAUGUAGACGAAAGCAUUUUCGAGGAAUUCAAGAAUGUUAUCGAGAAGUUCAACUUCAGAGAUCAUGCUGGUGUCGAGGAUAAUUCAACAAAGGAUGAGACCAUGGGCAAUGCGGCAGCCAAGAAGGGAGAUUCAGAUACAGAAGAGGAUGAGCAGGAAACUCAGCAGAAGGAAAAAGGACUCUCGAACAAGAAGAAGAAGCUUCAAAAACGAAUGAAGAUUGCAGAACUGAAGCAAAUUUGCUCAAGGCCAGAUGUAGUUGAGGUUUGGGAUGCAACCGCAGCAGAUCCAAAGCUACUUGUAUUUCUUAAGUCGUAUCGAAAUACUGUGCCUGUUCCAAGGCACUGGUGCCAAAAGCGGAAGUUUUUACAGGGAAAACGAGGUAUUGAAAAACAACCUUUUCACCUUCCUGACUUCAUUGCUGCAACUGGAAUAGAGAAAAUAAGACAGGCAUACAUUGAGAAAGAGGAUAGCAAGAAGCUAAAACAGAAACAGCGUGAGCGCAUGCAACCAAAGAUGGGAAAGAUGGAUAUUGAUUAUCAGGUCCUUCAUGAUGCAUUUUUCAAGUAUCAGACCAAACCAAAGCUGACAACACAUGGAGAUCUAUACUAUGAAGGAAAGGAAUUUGAGUUCAAACUUAGGGAAAUGAAGCCAGGAAUGUUGUCAAGGGAACUCAAAGAAGCACUAGGGAUGCCUGAUGGUGCACCGCCUCCAUGGCUUAUUAAUAUGCAGAGGUAUGGCCCACCUCCAUCCUACCCUCACUUGAAGAUACCUGGGCUAAAUGCUCCCAUCCCUCCUGGAGCCAGCUUUGGUUAUCAUCCUGGAGGUUGGGGUAAACCUCCAGUUGAUGAAUAUGGACGCCCAUUAUAUGGCGAUGUUUUUGGGGUACUGCAGCAGGAGCAACUUAAUUAUGAGGAAGAACCGGUUGAUCGGAGCAAACACUGGGGAGAUUUGGAGGAAGAAGAGGAAGAAGAGGAGGAAGAGGAAGAGGAGGAAGAGAUGGAAGAAGAGGAAUUGGAGGCUGGCAUUCAGUCUGUUGACAGCCUUUCAAGCACUCCCACCGGUGUAGAAACACCUGAUGUGAUUGACUUGAGGAAGCAACAGAGGAAGGAGCCUGAGAAACCACUUUAUCAAGUACUUGAAGAGAAGGAAGAAAGGAUUGUUCCUGGGACUUUGCUGGGAACAACCCACACGUAUGUGCUUGGGGCACAAGAUAAAACAGCUGCAAAAAGGGUUGAUCUUUUACGGGGUCAAAAAUCAGACAAGGUGGAUGUCACCAUACAACCAGAAGAGCUGGAAGUUAUGGACGAUGUUUUGGCAGCCAAGUAUGAAGAAGCACGAGAGGAAGAGAAGGUACGGAACCAGAAGGAGGACUUCAGCGAUAUGGUUGCAGAGCAAGCGGCAAACAAAAGGAAGCGCAAGGAGAAGGAAGGGAAAUCGAAGAAGAAAGAUUUCAAGUUCUAGACCAUGUGGCCUGGUCUUUUGCCUAAAGCUUACCCUUAGCGUUCAGCAUAUAGAUUUCGAAGUCCAAAAUUAAGGCCUCAUUCUUUGCCUUACCGUGUUUCAACCCGCAACAUGUUUUAGGAACCAACGGAGAGCCUAUACGAUCUGUAGUUGUGGUAAUCUUGUCGCUCUCUGUUCUUGAAGCAACGGAUGCAGCGUAAUGGCUGGGUGCUUUAUUGGUUCCUUCUACGGCAAGAAGGUCAAGUCUAUAGUUUGAUCACGUGGCAAGUAGGUCCCUCAUCAAUGUCUGAGUUGGGCCUUCUUAAAUGCUGUAUGGAAGGAAUUAAGUGUUUCGGAAAAGAGUGCAUAAUAAUGUUUGUUAUCUUUGGUCAGCAAUAUAGAUACUGUCGUUUUAAUGAUGUUAAUAAUAAGACAAGAUUACUACGAUGAUAAAUAUUACAAGUAUAAAAAAAAUGAACAACAUGAGCCUAAGGUCGUGUAUUGAGGCAGGUAA